GUUUUAUAUUAUUAUUAUGACUAAUUUUUUUUGCCCCAUGCAGUCGAACGGAGCACGGGUCUUGCACCUGGUGGCGAGUGGCGAACGGGUGAGUAAUACAUCGGAACAUGUCCUGUAGUGGGGGAUAGCCCGGCGAAAGCCGGAUUAAUACCGCAUACGAUCCACGGAUGAAAGCGGGGGACCUUCGGGCCUCGCGCUAUAGGGUUGGCCGAUGGCUGAUUAGCUAGUUGGUGGGGUAAAGGCCUACCAAGGCGACGAUCAGUAGCUGGUCUGAGAGGACGACCAGCCACCUGGGACUGAGACCGGCCCAGACUCCUACGGGAGGCAGCCGUGGGGAAUUUUGGACAAUGGGCGAAAGCCUGAUCCAGCAAUGCCGCGUGUGUGAAGAAGGCCUUCGGGUUGUAAAGCACUUUUGUCCGGAAAGAAAUCCUUGCCUCUAAUACAGUCGGGGGAUGACGGUACCGGAAGAAUAAGCACCGGCUUAACUACGUGCCAGCAGCCGCGGUAAUACGUAGGGUGCAAGCGUUAAUUCGGAAUUACUGGGCGUAAAGGGUGCGCAGGCGGUUUGCUAAGUCCGAUGUGAAAUCCCCGGGCUCAACCUGGGAAGUGCAUUGGUGACUGGCAGGCUAGAGUAUGGCAGAGGGGGGUAGAAUUCCACGUGUAGCAGUGAAAUGCGUAGAGAUGUGGAGGAAUACCGAUGGCGAAGGCAGCCCCCUGGGUCCAAUAACUGACGCUCAUGCACGAAAGCGUGGGGAGCAAACAGGAUUAGAUACCCUGGUAGUCCACGCCCUAAACGAUGUCAGCUAGUUGUUGGGGGUUUCCUCUCCUUAGUAACGCAGCUAACGCGUUAAGCAGUCCGCCUGGGGAGUACGGUCGCAAGAUUAAAACUCAAAGGAAUUGACGGGGACCCGCACAAGCGGUGGAUGCAUGUGGAUUAAUUCGAAGCAACGCGAAGAACCUUACCUAGGUCUUGACAUCGUCGGACAUCCUGCUGAGAGGGUGGGACGUGCUCGAAAGGGAACCAGAGCGACAGGUGCUGCAUGGUUGUCGUCAGCUCGUGUCGUGAGAUGUUGGGUUAAGUCCCGGCAACGAGCGCAACCCUUUGUCCUUAGUUGCCAGCAUUCAAGUUGGGCACUCUAAGGAGAACUGCCGGUGACAAACCGGAGGAAGGUGGGGAUGACCGUCAAAUCCUCAUGGCCCUUAUGGCUAGGGCUUCACACGUGCAUACAAUGGUCGGAACAAGAGGGUUGCCAACCCGCGAGGGGGAGCCAAUCCCACAAAACCGUUCGUCAGUUCGGAUUGCACUCUGCAACUCGACUGCGUGAAGCUGGAAUCGCUAGUAAUCGCGGAUCAGCAUGCCGCGGUGAAUACGUUCCCGGGCCUUGUACACACCGCCCGUCACACCAUGGGAGUGGGUAUUACCAGAAGUCGGCUGAGGCUAACCGCAUAGGAGCCCGCCCCCGAA
rnacentral:rRNA from 1 species